CAGGUCAAAAAAAUAAUUUAUCUGAACUAGAAAUACAGAACUCAUAGAGGAACAGAAUAAUACAAAUAAUUUACGAAAUUUAAGAUGCCUAUUGUAUAAAUCUGAAUCAUUACUUUCUAAUAACAGAGCUCAUAAAUGUUCAGUAUGUAAGAAGCCAGUCCAUGUACUUCCAGAAUGCUCAGCACACCAGCCAGAUGACGAUGAAAUAUUUAUUUGUUAUAGUUGCUUAGAGAGUAAUGAAAUACUUAUUGAAGAUAAUGCAACGGAUGAAUGUAACCAAAAAUGUAAAAAACAAAUUAAAAGUAGUUCAUAUCUCUUUACAAAUCUACAUUUACGGCACAUGAAUUCACAGAAUUAACGUCUUUUACCUUUGUUAAAAAAUGGAUCCUGAGCAGAAGAACUUAAAGUUGUAAAUUAAAAAGUUGAGGUUCAAAUGUAGUUUUAAGUCCCAGUCAGUUCUUUUCAGAAGGGAUUGUAAAAAAUAAAACAAAUAUGUUGAUUUUAUAUCAGUUGGUUUCUAAUGAAAUUGCUGCAUACACAUAUACAGAUAGAGCAGAAUUAACUAUUUUGUUACUUAAUCCAGUAUUAGAAGCACUUGAAUAUAAUACUUUUUUUUGUAAAGUGUGAGACUACACCUAAGCCUAUUUGCAAGUCUAUGUUCAGAGAGUUUCCAUGUAUCAUAGAAAGAAGUAGUUGUUCUAAUGAAAAAUGUGAAACGUUUCAAAAAACAUACUAUCCGAUCUACAUUAUAACAUAUAACAUCACAAAUAGCAUCAUCAGUGAUGAUCUGCAAGAAUUUAUUAGUUACCAAUUUCAAAAUGAACAAAUUAUACCGAUAAAUUGGAAAAAUCUCAAUACAA